rnacentral:sRNA from 1 species
GAAAAUAGCAAUGGUUCGUGUCGUGGUGAGAGGGCGCAUGGGCAGGGUGGUGUAGCCACCGGGCGGAAGCACCCAUGCGCGGUAAGCAGGCUCCUGACGGGGCCUUUUUUUGUGCCUGGAU